CGUGGCACCGCUGCUGGGAUCCGCGGUCCUGUCCCCUCACUGCCUCAUAGGAGCCCCGAGACCGGACCCAGAGAGUUGUCCCCAUGUGGUCCCCUCUUCCAGCCGGGCGCGUUAAGACCUGCCCUGUGCCUGCGACGGAGCCAGAAAGAAUCACCUUCAGAGAUUCAUCUGCCAGAAUGGAAGGUGACAAAAUUCCACUGACGCCUUGGUCGUAAUUUUUGUAAUGGGCUUCCAGUGUCAUUCCUGAAUCUUAGAGAUGCCCACUGAGGGGUUCAUGGGUGAAAUAACAUCAUGCCUGAGCUCUGCCUCAAAUACUUCAGCAAAAGGAGCAAUGGGGGGAGAAGACAGAAGCAGAGAAUGCAGGAGAGAAGAUAAAGAAACACAAUGACAGAGAUGACAAAGAAGAUGAAAGAGGAGGACAGAAAACAAAACCCCAUGGGAAUGAUGGACUAGGACUGGCAAAAUGGCUUCUUGAGCAAACGCAUUCAUGGUUAUCUUCGUUAAAACUGGUUUCACUCUGCCAACAAUCAACUUGAUUGACAUAUUUACAUAUCAACUCAUCUCAUCUUACAAAUUCUAAACUUUUUCACUUAAAAUUGGAUUCAAGUUGGCAUCUUUCAAGAACUUUAUGCAAUAUGAUCGGUGUUUAGGUGUACAAUGGUCUCCAGUAUUUACUGCAAUAUCUGUAGAUAAUGUCAACCUUAUGCACAGUGUUAUGCACUUAAGUGAAGAAAGACUGCCUGUUGUAAAGACAGAAGAGGCAUCUCGACCGUACAUGUUUCAACAGAACAUCCUCUCCCUGCAAUGAACUGAAUGCUCACCACAGCUUUCCCCCCAGAUCUGGAUUAGCCCCUGCCAGCCCUCUAUCCCAGCUUCCCCUACCCUCCACACAAACACACUGAUGAUGCCGGCAAAUAUGACAGCUUUAAACCUCGACAUUGGCUAGCUUGAAUUUUAGAAAGCAAAUGGAGAAUUAAAGAAAUUCAUGGGAAUAAAA